GAUGAACGCUGGCGGCGUGCCUAAUACAUGCAAGUCGAGCGAACAGACGAGGAGCUUGCUCCCCUGACGUUAUCGGCGGACGGGUGAGUCACUCGUGGAUAACCUACCUAUAAGACUGGGAUAACUUCGGGAAACCGGAGCUAAUACCGGAUAAUUUAUCGCACCGCAUUGUUCAAGAGUGGAAGUCGCUUUUGCUUUCACUUAUAGAUGGAUCCGCGCCGCAUUAGCUAGUUGGUAAGGUAACGGCUUACCAAGGCAACGAUGCGUAGACGACCUGAGAGGGUGGUCGGCCACACUGGAACUGAGACAGGGUCCAGACUCCUACGGGGAGCAGCGGUAGGGAAUCUUCCGCGAUGGGCGAAAGCCUGACGGUGCAACGCCGCGGGAGUGAUGAAGGUGUACGGAUCGGAAAGCGCUGUUAUUCGGGAAGAACAAAAGUGUAAGUAACUAUGCACGUCUUGACGGUACCGGAACAGAAAGCCACGGCUAACUACGUG
rnacentral:rRNA from 1 species